UUGCUCCAAUCCUGCUGGAGUUUCCAGCUGGUCAUGCACAGGGGAGCUGGGCAGGGGAGGUGGACUUGAGAGCAGAAUCUUGGCAGAUGGGUCUUGCUAGAGUUGGUCGGACUCUACAGCCUACAUUCUUAACCACCAUCAAAGGUGUACUGUCACAUUAAAAAUUCCCCUACUGGCAGAUAAUUAAGAUGUUUCCAGGGGUUUUUGUUGUUGUUG
rnacentral:lncRNA from 1 species